rnacentral:rRNA from 1 species
GUAGGUGGCAAGCGUUGUCCGGAAUUAUUGGGCGUAAAGCGCGCGCAGGCGGUUCUUUAAGUCUGAUGUGAAAGCCCACGGGCUCAACCGUGGAGGGUCAUUGGAAACUGGAGAACUUGAGUAUAGAAGAGGAAAGCGGAAUUCCACGUGUAGCGGUGAAAUGCGUAGAGAUGUGGAGGAACACCAGUGGCGAAGGCGGCUUUCUGGUCUGUAACUGACGCUGAGGCGCGAAAGCGUGGGGAGCAAACAGGAUUAGAUACCCUGGUAGUCCACGCCGUAAACGAUGAGUGCUAAGUGUUAGGGGGUUUCCGCCCCUUAGUGCUGCAGCUAACGCAUUAAGCACUCCGCCUGGGGAGUACGGACGCAAAGGCUG